rnacentral:rRNA from 1 species
AACGAACGCUGGCGGCGUGCCUAACACAUGCAAGUCGAGCGCGAAAGUCCUUCGGGAUGAGUAGAGCGGCAGACGGGUGAGUAACACGUGGGUAAUCUUCCUUGUGGUGUGGGACAACUCGGGGAAACUCGAGCUAAUACCGCAUGAGGCCAUUUUUCGAGAGGAGAAUAGAGAAAGCAGGGGAUCUCUUCGGAGACCUUGCGCCGUAAGAUGAGCCUGCGUCCCAUCAGCUAGUUGGCGGGGUAAAAGCCCACCAAGGCUAAGACGGGUAGCUGGUCUGAGAGGAUGGACAGCCACACUGGAACUGAGACAUGGUCCAGACUCCUACGGGAGGCAGCAGUGGGGAAUAUUGCGCAAUGGGGGCAACCCUGACGCAGCAACGCCGCGUGAGUGAUGAAAGCCUUCGGGUCGUAAAGUUCUGUCGGCAGGGACGACGGGUAUUUGGGUUAAUAACCCAAGGACUUGACGGUACCUGCAAAGGAAGCACCGGCUAACUCUGUGCCAGCAGCCGCCGUAACAC